CUCCUCAAUUGUGUUUAGCUUUAAUUUCAAUUGUGUUUUCCUCAAAUCUCAUAUAAAAUCCCCAAUUGAUUUUGUCGCUCCUUACAUCUGUCAUUAGCUUUAAUUUGAAUUGUGUGUUCUUCCUCAAAUCCCAUAUAAAAACCCUAAUUGACUUUGUUGUUCCUUAAAUUUGUGGUUAGCUUUAGUUUCAAUUGUUCCCCAAUUUUGUUUUGAUUUGUGUAGCUGGAAGUCAAUCUUUCAUUCACUUUUUACUAUUUCUUAUCCUUUCUCUAAUUGCUAGUUCAAUUCAUAGUUGAUAUAAGUUGUGUGAUUGAUAACAUGCUCUGUAACUAUUGAAUAAGGUCAUAUCAUCAUUGUGGAACUGAAAUUAUAAAAUCUAAUAAUUAUGGUGGUGCUAAAUUCAUUUGUAUAGCUGCUAUAUGUGAUGUUGCUUUGAAUUGUUAUCAUAGGUGGGGUUAUUAAGUUUUAGAUAUCAAGGAAUGACAUUAUCACAUCUUUUUCACAGGUUCAGAUUUUUGGAGCUGGUGUUCGUUUCUUCUCUGCUGGCUUAUUAAUGUCAAUUGACAUUGGAGAACUUGGCAUUUCCUAUUAGCAAGAAAGGGGCAUAGUCGCCAAAAUCAAGUUAGCAUUCAUUAAUUCUCAACUCCAAGCAGGUUCCAAAUGCUUCCAGUAUCUCUGAUAUAACGAAUUCUGCAAGUAUCCAAACACUAAUGAACACUACAAGAAAAUUGCCCUAUACCCAUAGCAAUUUGGAGGAGGCUUACUCUCCCAUCCAAAUCAGCUCAUGGUAAUGCUAAGAUGAAAAGCACUGAUGGAUUCUUUUGAAGACAUAAAAUAACCAUGUUCAAGUGUAGAUUCAAGUCAUCAUUCAACAAGGUUGAAAAACUCAAAAGUGAAUUCAAAA